GCAAGAAGUGACCCAGGUCAAGUUGCCCUCGCUUGCUAAAUUAAGCUUUGCUUGUAUGAUUAAGCUGGUUUUAUCCACUCAGAUAAUUUCCUAGUCUGACUUCCUGUUUGCCUUUAACGCCUACAGAGCGUUAAGAAUUCUUACCGAAGUUCGCUUUCCCACAUCUGUACCUGUGCUGCCUGGCUGAGAAAAAAAUGGAAAAUUUUACAUCGUCCCUUCCUUUGCAAAUUCAGACUCUGAAACGUCACGGAGCCAUACGUGCUCCUUUGUCUUUGGGGAAUGUCACCUUGAACACCUGUGAUGCUUGAAACUAGAGUGGACAACGUCCAGUGGUGAGGUGGCAGGGCUGUGCCUAGCCGUGUGCCGAGGACAGGGGAGCAGAAAGAUGGGCAGAUCUGGGUCCUGGAUGACGCUGCCGAGCUGAUAAAUCUCGGAGGCCCUUGUCCUUUCACCAGAAAAUGGUACCAAAUCAAAUGGACAAAAAUCAACUCAGAAUGAAUCACGGAUCUAAAUGCUGCAAAAAGUAAUAAAGAAAAACUUCACUGAAAUGGAGUUGGGAGUUUGUCCGGGGAGGUCUUCUGCCCUACCACUUCUUAGCGAUUGUAAAUUCAACAGGAAGAGGCAGACCUUGCCCUUAGAUACUCCUUUGCUACCCUACCAGGAGGAAGAAGGCAACAGCCCAGCCAAUGAGAGACUGUCACAACUCAGCCAAUGAAAAGCUACCAGGCUUCAAAAUAUUGGUUUACUUCAGUGACCUUUCCAACCUCCCCCCUUCCUUCCUCUAUAAAGGAGUGAUCCUCUUCUUUGUACUGUGGAUUUACCUAUGGUUUUGUCACAGCUUGCUUGUUCUGGAUUGCUAUUUUCUUUUAUUCGAGAAUAA